rnacentral:lncRNA from 1 species
CUGGACAUUUUGGAUAGACCAUAUGUCAGCUGAUCGAGUCUGUUGCCAAAUGAGUAAUGUUCAAAGUGUAAGGUUGUCACUUGUUGGUUGGCUUCCAGAGACAGGUUGACUGAAGUGAGUUGUCAUUGACCAACUAAGAAUGGUUAAACCAUUUCUGAUGUCUACUUGUUAUCAUGGCUAUAGCCCAGUCACUUUUAUCCUAGGAGUGUGGACUUCCAAUUUUCCGUCAGAAGUGGUGCCACACGCCUUCCCGGGGAGGUGCGCCCACUACAUAGGCCAUCUUUCUGGGCUUCCAUCAGAGAGUGAUGUGUGAUUUUCGUUCUGCUUGGCACCCUCUCGUCUCAUCUUGUCCCACAGAAAAGAGCUUCUGCCGACUUCCUACUUCGAGUUGUUUCUCUGAUGUGCUUUCCCUGACUUUUAUUCAUCUCAGCCUCUCUGUACUGCUGAAACCAAGCAGAGCAGACAUCUGAGCAACCUCGUUGAACAUCAUAAAUUCACUUCCAGGUGAGGGGUAAAAGAUUUAGCAUAGUAAAAACAAUAUGGCACAAACUGAACUUUGAAAUGUCUGUUUGAAAUGUUUGAAAUUUUGGCUUCUGGCCCUCCUCUCUUGUUUUUCAUUAUAGGACUAUCGAGAGAGUCCUGGAGGGAAAAACAAAUUCUGCUGAAUCCUGAAGUCUGGGUUGUUACUUAAAAAAAUUUCCUAUUGGGGGCCAGCCCUGUGGCCAAGCAGUUAAGUCUGUGGGCUCUGCGUUGGCGGCCCAGAGUUUCACCGGUUUGGAUCCUGGGCUCGGACACGGUACCUCUCAUCAGGCCACACUGAGGCAUCCCACAUAGCACAACUAGAAGGACCUACAACUACAAUAUACAACUGUGUACUGGGGGGCUUUGGGAAGAAGAAGAAGAAGAAGAAAAACUUCCUAUUGAUAGAUAAACCUGGUAGUGGGUGUGGAUCGUGCCCUUAAGGACGUCCAGAAAUGGAUUAAAAUCGUGUGUGAGGGAAGGAAGAAUCUCAGAUGAUGACCAGAUUUUAACCCUAGCAACUAGAUGAAAUGAAUGGUAGCGCUAUUUAAUAAGAUGGUAUAAACUUCGGGAGGAACCGGUCGGGGCCUGGAUAAUGAUGAUCCUAAACUAGUAAACAAAUGCUUGAGUUUAUUAGUUUAUUGAAUAACUUGAUUAUAUAGUACACAUUCUCUGUACUAGAGUUAGGGAAAUUCAAAUCAAGAAAUACUGAAAAUGGAACUAGGCCUGGAUCCACAGCUUUCUACUCUUAAAUCGAAUAAUAGCAAAUUAAUUUAUGUAAAACACCUCCCUUG